rnacentral:rRNA from 1 species
GGCAGCACGGGAGCAAUCCUGGUGGCGAGUGGCGAACGGGUGAGUAAUAUAUCGGAACGUGCCCAAUCGUGGGGGAUAACGCAGCGAAAGCUGUGCUAAUACCGCAUACGAUCUACGGAUGAAAGCGGGGGACUCGCAAGAGCCUCGCGCGAAUGGAGCGGCCGAUAUCAGAUUAGCUAGUUGGCGGGGUAAAGGCCCACCAAGGCGACGAUCUGUAGCUGGUCUGAGAGGACGACCAGCCACACUGGAACUGAGACACGGUCCAGACUCCUACGGGAGGCAGCAGUGGGGAAUUUUGGACAAUGGGCGAAAGCCUGAUCCAGCAAUGCCGCGUGCAGGAUGAAGGCCUUCGGGUUGUAAACUGCUUUUGUACGGAACGAAACGACUCUUCUUAAUACGAGGGGUUAAUGACGGUACCGUAAGAAUAAGCACCGGCUAACUACGUGCCAGCAGCCGCGGUAAUACGUAGGGUGCGAGCGUUAAUCGGAAUUACUGGGCGUAAAGCGUGCGCAGGCGGUGAUGUAAGACAGAUGUGAAAUCCCCGGGCUCAACCUGGGACCUGCAUUUGUGACUGCAUCGCUAGAGUACGGUAGAGGGGGAUGGAAUUCCGCGUGUAGCAGUGAAAUGCGUAGAUAUGCGGAGGAACACCGAUGGCGAAGGCAAUCCCCUGGACCUGUACUGACGCUCAUGCACGAAAGCGUGGGGAGCAAACAGGAUUAGAUACCCUGGUAGUCCACGCCCUAAACGAUGUCAACUGGUUGUUGGGUCUUUGCUGACUCAGUAACGAAGCUAACGCGUGAA